AGUGAUUGGCAUUGCCCAUUGAAAUGAAGAAUUUCUCCACUAUGAACUAUGAGUAAGUGGCCAUGUUAUGUGAGGGAAACAUGAUGAAACAAUCAAAUUGGUUGCAAGGAACUUUGAACUGGCCUGUGCAAUUGAGUAAACAGGAUGUAAUUGAGCCAAAGAAGAGUGUAAUGCACGGAAGGCAUCAGAAAAAAUUCAAAUUAUGUCAUCUUAAUCCGCAUUUUGCUCACAUAAAUUUUAAAACAAACGACUUUUUAUUAGCAAUGCCUUCAACGUUCUCGUUUGCUUGGUCGCUGGGUUUUGUACUUCCCCUGACCCGUCCAAACGUUGUCAUUGGGCCAGUACGCGGGUGUGGCUUACAGAUAUCAUUUGGUUGGGCCAGUCAUCACCGUGCAGCAUUUUGCUCAUCGUGCGAGUGUCAAUAUGGAUAGACUAGAAGAAAGAAUUUUGGCGUGACUGGAAGAAGAUGACCUAGAAGAUGUUGCAGUAGAAUCUGUUAGAGCUGAUAAUACCAAAAGUGACCUAGACAAAGAACACAGCAACCACCAUACCGAAACGGAAC